UCAUGUGAGCAAACAAAGAAAUCACGUUACUUCUUCCAGCUGGGCUCGGUUCUGUUGUUUCUGUGGGGAGAGUCAAAGGAAGGUGACUGAGGGUGGCCCCUUCAACUCUAUUCCCCAGGCCAGGAAGCAGUAGGCAGGGGCCAGGGAUGGAUUUUAAAGGUAGUUCUCAGACCCAAUGGGAACUCGAACUGGUAAACUCUCCUCAACUCCCAAAGUAAAAGGACUUGAGUCUUUGUUGGUUUUUGCCCACAGCCACAGAACUCAAAGUCUGAAACUAGAUUCUCUCAAAAAGACAGUCACAGAAACCUUCAGAGAUGGAGUGUGAGAAGAGCCCACGCUUCUGCCAGCUUGUGAUUUAGAAAGGUGCAUUCAUUCAACAAACAUUGACUGAGCACAUACGGGCCAGGGACGGUUCUUCACAGCGCAGAUAUAGGACGGAAAAGGCAGAUAGGAACCCUCGGUCCCGAGGUUUCCAUUCUAGUGGGCCUUUAACUCUCGGACUCUCAGAGCUAACAGACACCUCUGAUACUCUCUAACUCUACCUCAGGAAACGCAAGCCCGAGAAGGAGAGUUUACAGCAGGCCGUGGACUAGGGAUUCACAUAAAAACAACAAUGAUAAAUCUCAUUUAAACUUCACCAAUGUAGGUAAAACCAAACCACUCCUAUUUUACAGAUGUGAAAAGAGAGGCCCAAAGAGCUCAAGGAAUUUGCCCUCUAUCAUAUCCCCAGCAGAUGGAGAGGAUUCAAACCCAGAAUUCUUAAGCAGUGCCUGGGAGUUCUUCCACAAUCUUAACAAUUACCUUCCACCACCCCUUGGACCCUCUGUCCCCAGGAGCCUGGCCAGCCAAGACUCACAUCCUCAGGAGUGUUCAGUAAACUUCACCGUCUCUGUAUCUGUGUCCCUGCAUCUGCUCUCUGCUCGGAAUGAGGCCUCAAACUUAUUGGUAAGAAUUCCUACUCACCCUUAAAGAAUCCGCUUAAAUAAUACCUUCUCUGUGAAACCUUUAUAUCCUCCCAUUCUUACAGUAGGAAUUGAGAAUUCCUCAACUCUUGAAACAUUUGUGUCUCUAUUAGUAUGUAUCAGGCACUGAAGUAACUGCCAGGAUAGAAAGAUGAAACUGUAGACCCUGCCCUGAUGGAGCUUAUGGCCUAGUGUGGAAAACAGCCAUAUGAACAAAUAACCACACUAUAAUAUUAGAUGCAAUACCAAAAGGGAGAUGUAUUGAAUAUUUGAUAUGUGUCAAUUACCUUGUUAGAUGCUUUAUUAACAAUUAUCUAUGAUCAUAUUAGAUACGUAUUUGAAUUGGACAGAAGGCCAUGGAACUCUAGGACUGCUAUACUCUCAAUUGUCUUCUAAAGAAAUUGUCUAAGGGUUCUUUUUGAAUACAUGACAGUCAUAUAACUAUUGUGCGACUGUGGCAUACACAAAAAGCAUAUCUGUAAUACAUCUGUGUGACCAAUAAUGCAUAAAACCAACCUUCCUUCUUCUUUUUUUUUUUUUUUUUUUUUUUUGACUAUGGAGUCUUGCUCUGUCACCAAGCUAGAGUGCAAUAGUACGAUCUCAGCUCACUGCAACGUCCGCAUCCUGGGUUCAAAUGAUUCUCCUGCCUCAGCCUCCUGAGUGGCUGGGACUACAGGCACGUACAACCAUGCCCAGCUAACUUUUUGUGUGUUUUUAGUAGAGACGGGGUUUCCCCAUGUUAGCCAGGAUGGUCUCGAUCUCUAGACCUCAUGAUCCACCGGCCUCAACCUCCAAAUGUGCUGGGAUUACAGGUGUGAGCCACCGAGCCCAGCCAAAACCAACCUUCUUUGGCCACAAGUGACUGGACCAGGGCUCAGUGCUUCAGCUAAGGACAACAUAUAGGUUGAGCCUCAGGUUGAUCAAUCACCAAAGACAUAACGUGGCUCAAAAUUCUCCCUAACAGGGACCUUCUGUUUUUAGAAGGUGACACACUAAUCCAAUCAGAUAUUCUCUCUUACAAAAUACAAAUGUUGGGUGAACAAAGGAAAAGAGGGCAGGUCUUCAGAGCUCAAAUCCUAUCCUAAACGCUGCUAAAUUAAUCUUGUGGGAAGUUUUGAAAGUACUAGAGCCAAGAGACAACAUGGCUGCUUAGAUGACUUCCCAUCCAAGUUUGCAUUCAGCUGUCAUCACCAAAUGUGAUAUGUGUGUGCCUCUUCCUUGCAACCCACCGGUGCCUAACACAUCAUAUCACCACUUCUAAAAUUAGGAAACCAGCUGAGAAGUCCAAGAGCUUGACCAGAGUAGCUCCGUUGGUAGGUAGCAGAACCAGAAUUCAAAGACCAAGUCAGCAUGAUUCUUCUACCAUAUCCUGCCAGUUACAUGGGCAAGUGGCCUCAAAAUCAACAAAAGAAAAGUAGAGGUUGACAUGCGUCAAUGAAGAGAGGCUCAAAAGGAAGAGUUUAUACACAAGACUAGAGGAGAAAUGUUCUGAAAGAAUGUCUGGGGAUGUGAAGUAGGAGGGGACAUACCAGGUUUCACCUUGGUCAAGUGAAUCUCUAGUUGCAACCUGGGCCUCUGCCCUGAGCUCCAAACUUAGCUAUCUGUCUUUCUUACUGUACUGUAAAAUCCACAGGGCAGGACCUUAAUCUCUAGCUUGUUCAUCACAGAUUAAAGCAAUCUGCCUUAUAGUAAGUGCCUAGUAAAUAUAUGAAUGAAUAAGUAAUUGAACUCUCAAAGAAGCUAAAGAAAUAUUCCACAUUGCUGGGGAAGGGGUUACCAUGAAACAGACCCUAGCAGUCACUUACAAAUACAGUUAACCCUCAUUAUUUGUGGAUCCCAUAUUUGCACAUUUACUUACUUGCUAAAUGUCUUUGUAAUCCCCAAAUUAAUACUUGUGGAGCUUUCAAGGUGGCUCCCGGAUAUAGACACAAUAGUGAAAAAUCUGCCACUCCUUGCACACAUCCCAAGCUAAGGUCCAAUAAGGUGACCCUCAGUCUUCUGGUUUCAGCUCUCACACAAAGAUGGCCAGAGGGCAGGGACGGUAGAGGGCAGUGCAGGGUAGUGUAAGAAGCUCGGGCUGGGGCCAGCUGGAGAAGGUCUGAAUCUUAACUCUGGCUCCUGUUAGCAGGGCAGCCUCAGGUAAAUCACUUAACACUUCUCUACUUUCUUUAUUCUUUUGUAAAUAAAGAAAAUGUACUCUACCAGGAAGAGUUGCUUUAGGAAUUAAGGUUAUAACCUGUGUGAGAUAUGUACAUAGGUACAUAUUUUCCCUGGCAACAAGGGUUUAGUAUUUGAUUAACUCAGUGUUCUAGGCAACUUUAUAGAAUAGAACUACUGCAAAUAAUGAGAAUUAACCGUAAUUGUUUAUAAAGAAAUAACAGAGAUGUAGACAAAACAGUUAUGUGAAUGAGCUAGAGGCAGGCUUCAAGAAGCUUCUGAAGAAACAGAACUUCACCAGGCACCUAAGUUGUGGAAAAGGCCUGCAAGGAGAGAGAACGGCGCCUACAGAGAGAGAUCCAGAUGGUGGCAAAAAACAGGCAGGUUCAGGAAACGGCACACGGGGAAGUCUGGCGCAGAAGAUGAGGCCAGAACACGGUGCCACGGCUCUCCUCUGCACCCUGUAUACAGCCUGUGUUGCAGAACCUCACUCUCUGCAUGUCAUUCUUGGUUUCUAGUUCUCUCUUCCGUUAAACUCUGAGCCCCUCAAGGUCAAGGUCCCUAAGAAGAAAUCAUAGCUAGAGUCCUCUAAAUUUGCAAACAAGUUAUUACUAAACACGAAUACACCCAAAAAGACUGUACAAACAUAACUUUGGUUUUCAACGCAGUCACAGCAAUUCACAGCUGGUACAAAUUUGCAGUUUGUCCCGGAUUUUUCUCUGAUGACUGCUUAACUCUGCCAUAAGCUCUUUUCAUUGUUUUAGACACCCAGACAUUUGUUGGAAGUUUGAAGAUCUUGCUCUUUUUAGCGUAACUGAUUCAUUGGUUGAUUGACUGAGAUGGAGUUUCAUUAUGUUACCCAGGCUGGUCUUGAACUCCUAGGUUCAAGCAGUUCUCCUGCCUCAGCCUCCCAAGUGGCUGGGAUUACAGGCGCACUCCACUGUGCUGGGCUGUCGUGUGAUUUAUCCACAGGGCUUAAACAUAUGGUCCAUUAGACAAUGUUGCCAUGUCAGAGUAAAGGAUUCUUUUAAUUCACUGUAAUAGACUUAGUUCUCUAUAUGCAAGAUACAACUUUACCAUAGUAAAAUACAAGGAAGCAUAUAUAUAUAUAAAACAAACAGGAUAAAGAAAGCAAUAUAAUUUUUUCCACAAAAGCUUGCACAAUCCUGGUCAAAACACAGUAAACAUGAUAUUAAACUCACAGCUUACAUUUCUCCACUGAGAGCUAGAAAAACAAUGCCAGUUUUUGUAAAGUCACAAAACUAAGCACUGUGAGAACGUACAAGAUUUUGUGAACUUGUAUAUUCUCCCCACCCCCACAGACAAGUAGCCAAAGGAGUCUAUCAGUCCUACCCCAACACUUCAAUCUCCUGCAACCUCCAAAAUAAAACUCACUGUCCAAUAUCUGAAUUUAUAUUUUCAAAUGUCUAAAAUCUUAAUCAAAACUAAGAGCAGUGCAUUAGCUUUUCCCCAUAAAAUUCUUGGUAUAACUUUACUUAGGCACAACAUAGUUUGUACCAUGAUCUAAAAACAUACGGAUAGAACUAACAUUACUAGAAAUCAAAUGAAUAUACUAUGAAGGUGAAAAGGGAAUAGGGAGUGAGUGUUGUUUUUAAACAGGUUCAAUGUUGUUAUUACCCACUCGGGUUGGGUGUGAUCAAAUCAUGUGCAGUACAGCUAAGUAUGUCCUAUAUUUUAUGAGAAAGUAGGGUGACAAAUUAUUUAUUGAGGACCUGCUGGGUGCACCGAGGCAUGAUAGAAGCUGUAAGAGACUUGAUUCUUGCCCUCAAGAAACUUCCAAGGUUAUCGACUACUCCCAAAACAAAUAAUGAGCGAUGCUCUCUCAAAUAGAUAGAUGAUCAAAUGUGAAAUGGAGGUGAAGAUGGGGAAGGCCUUAGGCUCAGAGAUUGUGUUCAGGCCUUUAUAGGGACAUAUCUUUGACAUAAUC
rnacentral:lncRNA from 1 species